GAGUUUGUAGCUCAGUAGGUAGAGCACCAGAUUGUGGCUCUGGUGGUCACAGGUUCGAAACCUGUCAAACUCCCUA
rnacentral:tRNA from 1 species